GCUGGGCGUGGUGGCGCACGCCUGUAAUCCCAGCUACUCGGGAGGCUGAGUCAGAAGAAUCGCUUGAACCCGGGAGGCAGAGGUUGCAGUGAGCCAAGAUCGCGCCACUGCACUCCAGCCUGGGCAACAGAAUGAGACUCUGUCUCAA
rnacentral:SRP_RNA from 1 species